rnacentral:rRNA from 1 species
GACGAACGCUGGCGGCGUGCUUAACACAUGCAAGUCGAACGAGAAUCUACUGAAAGAGUUUUCGGACAAUGGAAGUAGAGGAAAGUGGCGGACGGGUGAGUAACGCGUGAGGAACCUGCCUUGAAGAGGGGGACAACAGUUGGAAACGACUGCUAAUACCGCAUGAAGCAUAGGGGUCGCAUGAUUCUUAUGCCAAAGAUUUAUCGCUUCAAGAUGGCCUCGCGUCUGAUUAGCUGGUUGGCGGGGUAACGGCCCACCAAGGCGACGAUCAGUAGCCGGACUGAGAGGUUGAACGGCCACAUUGGGACUGAGAUACGGCCCAGACUCCUACGGGAGGCAGCAGUGGGGAAUAUUGGGCAAUGGGCGCAAGCCUGACCCAGCAACGCCGCGUGAAGGAAGAAGGCUUUCGGGUUGUAAACUUCUUUUAAGAGGGAAGAGCAGAAGACGGUACCUCUAGAAUAAGCCACGGCUAACUACGUG